CCUGCAAAGAGAACAAAAUAUGGUACAUCAGCAGCCUAUUUGGGCUGGUGAAAGAAAUUAAGCAAUGUGGUCCCUCAAACCAAGUCUAAGUGCAAGUUUAGUUUCAAAACCAACAAUGCUAUAAAUUACUGAUGUGGAAUGGAUCUGAGAGGACUGAUAGGAAUGUGCUCCAACAUCACCAACCGCUCUGCAGAGCAGGAGCACGUAGGAAGCUUGGACUAGAAGGGGGACCUUGACCUCAGAAAGGUAAGCUUUAUCUCUAAAUGUAAUGACUGUAGCUCUGGCUGGAGCCCAUAUGUAUGAAAUAUUUGAGUUCAAGCAGCUUGGAUAAACUUGAAAUGGGCACCCAAAAUUUUGCCAGGCUCAUUGGAACCUGGUUGGACCUGUAGGAGUUUGCUGGCAGCUGCUUGUUACUACAUUUCUGAAAGAGUAAAAGCAAAGGAAAUAUCUUAAAGGCACGCCCUUAUCCAGCAGGAGAAAUAUUCCCCAGCUUACUCUCUAAAAAGCAAAGCUUAAAAGGGAAACCUUUUCUGAUGGUGGGUAAGUCUUGCUGUUGUUCAUAUUGAUGUUCUUCAUGGAGAUCAGAGUGAUGCUGUUAUCCUUCUCGCUUGUGCCUGCAGAGCAGCUGUCAUUGAGGGAAAGCAUUAAUUACUCUGGAAUAUAAGAAGGGAAUUUCUCCACGCAGUGAGGUAAACUAACAGAGCUGAGUCUGGCUGGGGUGAGGGGACCAGGGCUGAUCUCUGAUCUGUUGUCUGGAUUCAGGCACACCCUUAGUGCCAAAUUCCUCCACUCCUUGAUACUACCGCUCAUGUAUUGCCAGGCCCCAGCUUCUGAGUGAGAGGUACAAGUGUUAGGAAGGGGUAAUUUGCCUUUCUCCCUACCCUGAGGGCUGGAUAGGCAUUCAGUGCCAAUGGAGGCUGGAUGGUGUUGGAGAUUAGAGUGCCUUGGUGCCCCAUCUCAGUGGUUGCAGUUACUUAGGAACCACUGAUGCUGAUGCAAAUUCUCACAUAAAUAUUGAAGAACCCUGCUCCCUGUGUCCCCUGAGUCCCAAAAAAGGGGUAUUACCCAGAUAGGAAAGGAUAGGGAAGUAGGAGCAAUGUGCAGCGAUACCUUCUCCCCUUUUUAGGUCCCUCCCAGCUCUUGCUUCAUGAUGCUUUCUGUGCGCAGUUUCUCUAUUUGGGUAGCAAUGAUUCUCUGUGGGGCUCACACAGAACAUUUUCCACUUGACAUUUUUCUUCCUACGGCCUCUGAACCGAGACCCCUCUUUAUCCUACUUGAGCUACGUAACAGCAAUAGCGGUACUGGAAAUAACUGGGGGUGGGACCUGGUCUAUUUUUGCUGAGACUGCUUUGAGUUUCAGAAGCCCAAGGCCAGAUCUCAAGUCUGCAUGUAGGCAAGAAAAGACAAGCAAACUCCUUUUUGGAAGGUGAUGAGCUUUCGCUGAUAUCAGCACAGCUGUGAAAUGGAGACCCUAAAUGUUGAACUUCUACCUUUGACUCCAUCAGACACAGGAUGAGGUUUAUCAGCACUCACUGUGUUUUUCACCUAUCUCAGAGCCCUGAAAUGCUCCCCCCCACACCCCAUCUGAUGUAAUGAAAGUUGCCUUUUUCCCUGUGCUAAAAUUAGUUGUGCAAUAAAAUAUAAUUUUCAACGGGAUAUGAAUAAUGUGAGCAGCCUUACCCCUCUGAUACCAUGGAGCUCCCUGGCUUCUGUUUGUCUGGAGGGAGAAAAGCAGUUGGUGACGGACAGGUGAGAAAACAUCGCGGCUGUGCAAUAAAAUAAGUCAGCUGUAUUCUGUAUCGUGUUGUACAGGGUUAUAAAUGAAAUCCACAUGAAAUUAGAGUCACCACUGGAUAUCUGAGAGCUGAUUAGAGAAAAUGCUUCAACUAAUUUAACAUUAUACGGGCAGGAGUGAAUGCUUUGCUGCCUGUUUAAUUGCUGGCAUCCUCCAGGCUUCUGGCAGUUACCUGCCUUGCCGUAGAGCAGCCUUGCCCUCUAGUGGGCAGUGCUUAACGGGAAAUAGGAUUCUGAGGGAAAAACAAUGUCAAACUGUGAUUUCUGCAGGAAAUCUGCACACUUAGCUGCUUCAGAUACAGCAAACUUAAGGCUUUUUCCUUGUGCACAUGGUGCACACGGGGCUGGACAGGGGCUCCAAAGAAGCGCUCACACCCCAUUCCUAACUGUGAUUCAAAACCUCCCCACUGGGUAAGCUGCCCUUUUCGUGUAUGUGUGCGUGUGUGUGCCUCCAUCAUUUUGGAGCUGCAAAAUGAACUUAGAAAACAAUGACUUUUCGAUUAGGGAAGGCCGGGCAGCCUCAGACAAAUACCUUCUGAGUCCUUGGAGCGAUUGCACUUGAACCUCAGGCUGACCACGCUGACGAGGAUGAUCACAACCACAACCAGGAUGACUAUGAAGCUGAUGACACCUGCAGAUGGAUGAAGAAACCUUCUGCUCUAGUAACUCCCCUGUCCUUGGCUUCUGGGGUAGUGCAGGGCCUGGACUCUCAUCAUGAUUUGUGUAGGAAAUCAGUAUUUUCAUUAAAGCAAGCAUGGGAUGUAAUAGGUAGAAAAGUAAAUAGUUGCUGGAGUGAGUGACCUAAUCCUCCUGUGUUUUAGCUUCAAAGGGCUUCUGCUGCGUGCUUAGUUGAUAAGACAGUGAUAGGAAGGCAGAAGCCAAUUGAUUACACUGGCAAUUAAUUAGAGUCAACAUGUCCCUAUUGCAGUUGAGAAAUCUUAUCCUAAAGGUGUGUGAAGUCAGAUAAAUACAUAAUAUAAUGGAGAGAGACGAGUUAUUGACUUCAAGCAGUGUUAGCUAUCUCACGAACCAGUGGCCAAGCACAGAUUUUAUUCUGACAUCUGGCAAUUAUCAAUUAAACUGUGCUUUGUUAAGAUGGUUUUAGAGCUCUUAGUGGUUUAGCCCAAAGAAAAGUGGGUAUCUUAAAUCUACCCUGUGCCCAUCCUUAGAGCCAUUGUCUGGAUAAGUUAUGGCAUCUCUUGCUCCAUUCUUGCACAAUCUCUGAACGGUGUGGUGGAGUUGGCUGCUUCCUGCUAAGCAGGGUGGAAACAUACAGGGAAAGCAGUUUGGUGGGGCUGGGGCAGAGUUGAACAGGCUUUCAGGGUUAAAACAAAGUUGUCGAAGCUUACAGGAAGGUAAGACAUUUAUUGUGUUCCCUUUCAGGGAAACCAGGACAUAGAAUGGGGGAAUUUCUGCCCAGGUCUUGUGCUGGGAAGAACAUCCAGAGUUCAGGCACAGCCAUGACACCCUUUCAAACUCCUUCCUUGUUAGGCUGGAUAUGGCUAGAAGUGUUUAUGCACUGCUUUGUUACUUGGUGGUAACAAGUCUUUUUCUCAAGAGUUUUCCCUCGCACUCUGAAAUCUACAAGAUGGGGCAUGGAGAGUGAAACUGAGGAGAGCUGUCCCAAGGGAAGCUUCUUCAAGGCUGGGUGUUCUAACCUGCACGAGUUGACAGAACAGGUCCCCUCCUUUCCCCUGGUUGCAAAAGACCUUACCGAAAGCUACCACAGUCAGCGGAGACUCGUAUUCUGUUGGAGUAGGCACAGGCAAAGAGACAGAGAUUUCCAGUGCUGGGGUAACUGUUCCUGAGGUGCCUACAAGAGGGGGGAAAUACCAUCAUAUAAAGCCUUUCUUCCAAGGUUGGGAAGAAGAUUUCUAGCAGUACUACACGGUCUAACUCUCACUUGCACUUUGAUGAAGAGAAUAACUGAGGAUCAUGGGCAGCCCCACCGAUGUGAACGUCCUCAGUGGGAGUCAGAUUGCAGUGGUGUGGCCCUACUUAUCAACAGUCUGAGAAAGCGAUUCCCCACCCACAGGCUUUUCUGCUGGGACAUCAACAAGGAAGCUGAGCAUGGCAGGUAAAGGACUGAUCUGGCACGUUUGAGGAAGGAGCUUGUCCUGCCUCCCCAUCUUACAGCCUUUUGCCACACUGUCACCUUUCCCUGCUGUGACUCACAGCUGCUGUACUCAGGCGUGACAUGUAAAUCCAGAGUGCUGCUUCUGCAGAGCUCUGAAGGCUUUUGAAGGGCUAGAUGGGAUGGCUAGCAGCCCUCGGGUUCUUGUUAUCUCUUCAUCAUAAUGCCUGAAAAUAGCAGUGCUAUGGCAUUGCUGUUGGCUGUAAAAAGGGCUGUGAAACAUCUACUGAUGUCUGUUUCUAUGAGAGAAAGGAGAAAGCACCUUGAGUUGCUGCUGCUGUAGUACUCUCACUUCUCUUGGACUCUUCACCUGCACAGAGGAAAUACAGAAAUGAGUCUUGUCCUUGAAUUUCACAUGGUAAGCAAAAGAAUGAAUGUACGUGCUGGAGAGUGGAACGUAUUCACAGUAUGGCUGGUGAUGCAGGAAAAUGGGAAAUUCAUUCUCAGGCUGAAACCUCCCCACCACAGGAUCAUAGAAUCAUAAAGACUAGAAAACACAACUUAGGUCAUCCAGUCUGACCCCAGCCCGUGCCCACCAUGCCCACUAACCACAGCCCUCAGUGCCACGUCUCCAUCGUUCCCAAACACCUCUGGGGUUGGUGACUCCCCCACCUCCCUGGGCAGCCCAUGCCAAAAGUCCUUUGUACAGUUUUCCCAGAAUUUUCCUUCAGAAGAAGAAACAAGGGAUUCAAAUAGUCCUGUCUAAGUGCUCAGGUUUCGUUUCUGCAAUCACUCAUGUAUUUUUUUUGGCAGGUACAGGAGUUAAACACUGGGAUAGUGAGCUGGAAAAGCUAUAGAUUUUCUACUGCUCAUAAACAAACAAGCAAACCGGUUAGGGGAGGCAGUUCUGCAGAACACAGGUAUAGAUUGGCUGCUUGGCUUGUUUGCCUUGAAGAUGGAAUUAGUGUGCAUGUCUUGCAUGCUGUUUUAUCUAGAAGUAACUAAGCUAGUUCUGGUUGGGUUAACUUGCCCAAUAUGCAGUCCAGCUGUGGUAGCGCAGAGGUUCUUCAAGCGAGGACUCCAGGAUCUUUUCUUCUUUUCCCAUCCCCUCCCUCCCAAAAGCAGUGUUGGCCAAAGUGGGUGCUGCCCAGAGAGCCGCAGGUGGAGGACAGAAGCUGUGUGUGCUGAGCCCGCCGUGGGUACCCCACUCCUGGGAAAUGCUGAGUCUCACACAACAGGAGCUCUGUCUUUUGGAAGCAUCAGCAGCGUUUCUGUAGCUGAAGAUGUACGGAGCUUUUCAGCUAAAGCAGGCCUGGAGGCUAACAUCUUCCUCAACCACACACUGAAAGGAGCCAGAGCAUGAAUCGUGUGGAUCCAGAGCAAGAUAGCAGGGGGAAAGGGAAUGCUGUCAUAGUCCUCUCCAAGAAGAGCAGAUCACCAAGGUGCAAUCUAUAGGCAAGUUACUCUUCUAGGCUUGUGGCUUUCCAGUAAAAUGAGCAAAGAGUGAAAAUGGUUUUAAGCUUUUUCCUUUUAUCCAAAUGCUCACUGAAAUGUUGAAAUGGGGAAUCACUCUUCUUUUUCCUUUUUUUCUUUUUUCUAUUUUUUUUUUUCCUGCAAGGAAUGGCAGCAGAAUCUGAGACCGUUUGGGGGAUCUUUUUCCUUUAUAUUUUAGGGGUCUCUCUGUAAGGGGAUCUUUUUCUAAGCAGAGAGAGGUCUUUCCCUGUUAUAUUCUCUUCCACAGGGAGAAACAGGAAACACAUUGACCUGUUGUGUGGGAGGUGCUGAGGCUGCGUGCAGAACUGGAAUUUUCUAGUCUAAAAAAAAAAAAAAAGUGGUUGAGCUUAUUGAGAGAGCAGUAUUGAACAGUGAAUGUAAUGCAGGGAAACUCCUCUAACAAUGGCUUAACUGCUGGUGCUUCCUGUAUGACACCCAACAGCUGAGGCCAGACCUGGUGUGUGAGGCACUGUGCUUACACGUAUUGGGCACCAAGCUCUCCAUGCAUUAAGGGCUGCCCAGCAAAACGGUGAUGCCAGGUAGAUGUGGACACAGGCCAAUCUUCUUCCCUCGGUGGGGGAUUACAGACACCCACAGUCCUUCCCUGUUGGAGUUU